UCAGUAGUAAUCCUCCUGUCUGUCUGAGAUGCAGGAACUGCCCCACCCCACAGUGACCUGCUGUUUUGUCUGGGAGAAGAGGAGGUUUGGAUUGCUUUACUGUGUCACUUCUGUUCCUGCAGCAGUCCCUGUUCUUGCCUAUGGGAUUUCAGAGUGCUGUGGUGCUCCUUUGGGGUCGUGGGUGUAUGCACCAGGGUGAGGUCUAGGGUGCUCUGGUGGAGCAUCCCAAAAGCUAAGGGGAAGAUCAGUGUGCCAAGGUGUGGUGGUGGGCAUGGGGAAAGGAGGGAGCACACAAGCCAUAAAGGAAGAGGAGUUUGACUCAGAGCAGUAGAGCUCUACUCUCACCUAUUAUUGCCACUGGUUCCAAACUGGACUCACUGCUUCCUCUAGUUCUUUUGAUCACCAGGUUAAGUGGUUAUAUUUCCCAGUCUCACCCUGAAACAGGCACUUGUACCUCUCAACUCGUUUUCUAUGGCAGCUAUUCUGCUACCUGCAUCCUCCAGUCUGCCCCGACAGGAGGUUUUAUGCUCCCCCACCUCCAUAUCGAGCAUUUCACAUCCCCAUGCCUGCUGUGAUGCCUCAGGCAGCUCCUCACCGCCUUUCCAGCUCUGAGCCGCGGCCUCUGCUCUAUCCUCCUGCUUCUCGGGCAGCCUAGUGGCCCGCCUGCCCUGUCUCGUCCCGCCAAGGAGCAUCCCGGUAGCGGGACCUCCUCCUCCUCCUCCUCUUCUUCCCUCCUUCCCUCCCGGCGGCCUCGAGUCGCGCCAGUGAUGGAGAGAGCGUCACCGGCUCCUAGCAACGCGCCUAGCAACGCUCCUGGCAACCAGGCAACAUCUACUCCCGCUGGACCAAUCCGCGCCGGGAACAUCUGGGCACCCACCUCCGCGGGCUGCGGCCGGGAGGUGAUGCACUCCUCAGUGGCUGCAGGGACCCACAAGAGCUGCCACCUCCACCACCACCUCCUCCACCACCACCUCCUCCACCUCCUCCAGGAGCAGCAAGCAUCGAGGGAAGGACGGGAACAACCCUCCUUCUGGAGCCGGGGCUAGCUGGGUAACCCUUCAGCAGUGCUGUGCUGCCAGAAAUGCUCACUGAGCCCGUGCAAGCAGGAAAUCUUACUAAAGCUGCUGAGAUCAUCCCAGAGAGACCCUUUGCAGAUUGACUCUGCAUCCUCAGAGCUGAUCUGAUUGGGGCCUACCAAAGACAUUAACGACGUCGAAAGUAGCCUACUUUAAGAGAAAAUAUGCAGAAGAAGAACAUUUACAUCAAGAUUACCAUGAGUAUUGUUCAAAACACCUGAUACUGCCUGAGGACCGGACCUGUAUUCUAAAACUUUCUCUCCAGAAACUCCGAUUCCUGGAUGACCCUGAAGCCUAUCUCCGAAGGUCUGUAUUAAUUAACAAUCUGUUGAGGAAGAUUCACCUAGAGACAGAGAGGGAGAGCUAUGAAUACUUUAAGGAGGCUCCGUGUUACAGGACUGCUUACUCUGACGCACGAAAACGGCUGAAGUUUAUGGUGCAGGAGUGCUGUUCCCAGUCGCUCUAUUAUGAAGAGCUGCAUUCGUAUCGCAUCGUGCCUUACUCUGCAGAGAACGCCGUUUACGGAAUGGGCUACACGAGCAGCCACUUGGAGCAAAAUUCUCAAUUGCUUAUUUAUAAAAUGAAUUAAAAGUAGCUGUUAGACCCACUGAUGUUUGUUUCUGAAUGCUUGAACUGCUUGUUGAGAGGUUAAGAUGGGGCACUAAUUGCAGAUAUACUUGUGAUCAAAGGUGGAUGCGUUGAGAGCUGAGUGGAAGGUACUUUGAAUAAUGCUCUGCAGUCCCUGCUCUUACCCCCUGGUUAUGAAGUACCUUGGCUUACACACAGAGCUGGUGCAGUAUGGAGGUCCUUACCCACAGAGACUGUGUGCAGCAUGUUUUAAGUUAUCUGUGUGUAGAUACAGAUGCUCCAAAUCACUUUGCAGUUAAAUUAUGCCAACCCCCGUGGAUGGGGAGCCCCAACAUUGUGGAGUUGUUUAACAGUGAGGAGUGAAAUGCAAGUUAUUUACUGUGAAGUUAUAGAUAGAAAGUUUCUUUGAGAAAUGCCUUGAGCAUGAAAGAGUUAGUGCCAAAGGAAACAACCUUUUGCCUAGGAUUUUCAGAGACUUCACUUGCUUGCUAUGUACAAGACACUCCAUACCGAGAUUUGCAAGGGAUUUUGGUUUGGUGG